rnacentral:misc_RNA from 1 species
GUGAAUCAUCAAAUCUUUGAACGCAAAUUGCACUCUCCGCGGAGAGUAUGCCUGUUUGAGGGUCAGCCUAUAAAAAAUCGACAUCGUUGCUGUUUCGCGGUGGCGUUCGUCGGAAAUUGGGUCAUCUUAAAUCUUUUGGUUUUAAGCGACUUAAAAUUUUCUUUACGAUUCUACGAACGUUUCUAAGAUUUACUUACACGUUUAAGGUUUCGAUUUUUAUUAGACGUGGCCAUUGCAUCGGAUCACGUCCAACAAUAUUUCG